UAAAAGACUGUUAAAUGACGCAGUGCAAGGUGCAGCAUUUCCUUUACUUUGACUGGAAAUACUAGUGACGUGAACUGUUCUGUCAGCUGGUAAUUCCCUGAGUCAAACCUGAUCUGCAGGGCGUCCUCCUCUAAACGUUACUGAUUUCAUUUUAUGACCACAGCCAUGUGGGGAGAUUUAAAAAGAAGGAUGAUCAGCUCAAGAAAACGAGUCCUGGAGGAGGUGGAAACAGCAGACAAGAAGAAGCAAAGAGUUACUGAGCAGCAGAGGCGUCAUUAUGGACUAAUUAAUCAGGGAGCCACAUGUUAUCUCAACAGUGUCCUGCAAGUUCUCUUCAUGACCCCUGAGAUCUAUGGCAGGU